CUCAAAGCUUCUAAGAUGUUUUCAUGUUGUGGUGUUUGUAUCUCUAGCACACUAAUUUUUACUGAUAACAUUAUUUACAAUAGAAUAUUACAUAUCUAUACUGUUACUAGGCAUCAUGGUUAUUUCCAUUUUUCUCCUAUUGUAAACAGUGCUGCCAUGAAGAAUCUUGAACAUGUCUCUGCAGAGUUUCUGUAGAGUAUAUGCAUAAGAGUGAAAUUGAUAGCUCAAGGGUGUACAUCAUUACAUUUCGACUUCUACGUGGACUGCAUUGUGUUCACCACCAAAAGUCUAGUUUCCAU
rnacentral:lncRNA from 1 species